rnacentral:rRNA from 1 species
AUCAUUAAUGAAAUCACAAUCCGGCGAGGGGAAAGGCGGAGAGUUGUAGCUGGCCUCCAGGGGCACGUGCACGCUCUCUUCCCGACCUUUCGUCGUAUGGGCGCGGGGCGACCCGCGUCUUCAUGCGCCUCUUCGUGUAGAAAGUCUUUGAAUGUCAUUACGAUCAUCGAGUCGCGACUUCUAGGAGACGCGAUUCUUUGAGAAAAAAGUUAUUACAACUUUCAGCAACGGAUCUCUUGGCUCUCGCAUCGAUGAAGAACGCAGCGAAUCGCGAUAUGUAAUGUGAAUUGCAGAUCUACAGUGAAUCAUCGAAUCUUUGAACGCACCUUGCGCUCCUCGGUGUUCCGAGGAGCAUGCCUGUUUGAGUGUCAGUAAAUUCUCAACCCCUCUCGAUUUGUUUCGAGAGGGCGCUUGGAUGUUGGAGGCUGCCGGAGACGCUGGAUUCGUCCAGGACUCGGGCUCCUCUUAAAUGAAUCGGCUAGCGGUCGACUUUCGACUUUGCAUGACAAGGCCUUUGGCGUGAUAAUGAUCGCCGUUCGCCGAAGUGCAAGACAGA